rnacentral:rRNA from 1 species
AGAUUGAACGCUGGCGGCAUGCCUAACACAUGCAAGUCGAACGGGAGUAGCAAUACUCUAGUGGCGGACGGGUGAGGAAUACGUAGGAAUUUGCCCUUAAGUGGGGGAUAACCCGGGGAAACCCGGAUUAAUACCGCAUGACCUCGAAAGAGCAAAGUGGGGGAUCGCAAGACCUCACGCUUUUGGAGAAGCCUACGUCGGAUUAGCUAGUUGGUGAGGUAAUGGCUCACCAAGGCGACGAUCCGUAACUGGUCUGAGAGGAUGAUCAGUCACACCGGAACUGAGACACGGUCCGGACUCCUACGGGAGCAGCAGUGGGGAAUAUUGGACAAUGGGCGCAAGCCUGAUCCAGCAAUGCCGCGUGUGUGAAGAAGGCCUUCGGGUUGUAAG